CACACACGGAAAUAGGGUAAUUGCGGGAGAAAUCCGUAAUUUUCCGCCGGUGGCAGGUUUUACUGCCUCAUUCCGUGGAGGUUCAACCGGAAAGGAUAAAGAAAUGG
rnacentral:sRNA from 1 species